AGGUAUAUAGCUCAAGUGGUAGAGCACAUGCUUAGCAUGCAAGAGGUCCUGGGUUCAAUCCCCAGUACCUC
rnacentral:tRNA from 1 species